rnacentral:lncRNA from 1 species
UGCAUAAAAGUUAAGUAAAUCCACCUAACUCAACUUGGAUAGCCUCAAGUGGUACCUCCAAACCUUAUAAAUACCUUGCAUAGUUUACAAUCCUCAAUUGCAAUAAUAGUAUACUUACAUCCUCUCAUCAUAAUCUCCAUUAUCUUCUUCUCAAUUUGCCGAGGUUAUCUUUUGUUAUUUUUAGUUUUAGCAAUGGCAGAUGAGGUGACAUCAAGUAA